GAUGAACGCUGGCGGCGUGCCUAAUACAUGCAAGUCGAGCGAACGGACGAGAACUUUGCUUUUCUGAUGUUAGCGGCGGACGGGUGAGUAACACGUGGAUAACCUACCUAUAAGACUGGGAUAACUUCGGGAAACCGGCGCUAAUACCGGAUAAUAUUUUGAUCCGCAUGGUUCAAUAGUGAAAGACGGUCCUGCUGUCACUUAUAGAUGGAUCCGCGCUGCAUUAGCUAGUUGGUAAGGUAACGGCUUACCAAGGCAACGAUGCAUAGCCGACCUGAGAGGUGGAUCGGCCACACUGGAACUGAGCCACGGUCCAGACUCCUACGGGAGGCAGCAGUAGGGAAUCUUCCGCAAGGGGCGAAAGCCUGACGGAGCAACGCCGCGUGAGUGAUGAAGGUCUUCGGAUCGUAAAACUCUGUUAUUAGGGAAGAACAGAUGUGUAAGUAACUGUGCACAUCUUGACGGUACCUAAUCAGAAAGCCACGGCUAACUACGUG
rnacentral:rRNA from 1 species